GACGAACGCUGGCGGCGUGCCUAAUACAUGCAAGUCGAACGCAGUGGGGACGGGUGAGUAACACGUGGGUAACCUCCCAUCAGAGGGGAUAACACUUGGAAACAGGUGCUAAACCGAUACUGAUGGAUGGACCCGCGGUGCAUUAGCUAGUUGGUGAGGUAACGGCUCACCAAGGCCACGAUGCAUAGCCGACCGGAGAGGGUGUGCGGCAACACUGAGACUGAGACACGGCCCAAGCACAUACGGGAGGCAGCAGGAGGGAAUCGUCGGCAAUAGACGAAAGUCUGACCGAGCAACGCCGCGUGAGGGAAGAAGGUUUUCGGAUCGUAAAACGCAGUUGUUAGAAAAGCGGUAUCUAACCAGAAAGCCACGGCUAACUACGUGCCAGCAGCCGCGGUAAUAC
rnacentral:rRNA from 1 species